rnacentral:rRNA from 1 species
GAUGAUCGCUGGCGGCGUGCCUAAUACAUGCCAGUCGAGCGAACAGACGAGAGUGCUUGCACUCUCUGACGUUAGCGGCGGACGGGUGAGUAACACGUGGGUAACCUACCUAUAAGACUGGGAUAACUUCGGGAAACCGGAGCUAAUACCGGAUAAUAUUUAGCUUCGCAUGAAGCAAUAGUGAAAGACGGUUCUGCUGUCACUUAUAGAUGGACCCGCGGUGUAUUAGCUAGUUGGUGAGGUAACGGCUCACCAAGGCAACGAUACAUAGCCGACCUGAGAGGGUGAUCGGCCACACUGGGACUGAGACACGGCCCAGACUCCUACGGGAGGCAGCAGUAGGGAAUCUUCCGCAAUGGACGAAAGUCUGACGGAGCAAUGCCGCGUGAGUGAAGAAGGUUUUCGGAUCGUAAAACUCUGUUGUAAGGGAAGAACAAGUACGUUAGUAACUGAACGUACCUUGACGGUACCUUACCAGAAAGCCACGGCUAACUACGUG